CGUGUAGGUGGUAGAUUAAGUCAGAUGUGAAAUGGCAGGGCUUAAACCUUGUCAGGUCAUUUGAUACUGGUCGACUAGAGUGCAGGAGAGGGAAGUGGAAUUUCCGGUGUAGCGGUGAAAUGCGUAGAUAUCGGAAGGAACACCAAUGGCGAAGGCAACUUCCUGGCCUGAGACUGACACUGAGGCGCGAAAGCGUGGGUAGCGAACA
rnacentral:rRNA from 1 species